CAAUGGGAUCAUUUCUUGAAUCACUUCAACCUUGGAAGUCUAUGAGCCCAUAGUAGGAGCCUGGAGAAACCCAGCCUUUUCCUGUCUGCUCAUUCCUGACCUCAGCAAAGAACCUGCACCCCCUCCCCACUUUCCCCCAUCUGGUGAGGGAACAGAAUGCCUGUCCAGAGCUUCCAACUGCCACACAGGGCCUCAGAUCCCCUGCAAAGGUUAGGCCACUUCCUGUCCCAUUCUCUAUUCCUUUGCAUCUCUUAACUCCUUUUUUCCUCACAGAGAGUGGAACAGAGUGAGACUGAGCCCAGCUCUGAGGAGCUCUGCUGGCCACAUUCUCCUAGGCCUCAGCAGCAACAAACUAGGUGGGGAAAUUGAAGCUGAGCAGGAAGGAAUUUGCCUGAAGCACUUGAUGAUUUGGUGGAGAGAUUGCUUUACUAGGAAUCUGAAGACACCUGGGUCCUGGUCCCAGCUCUGCCCCUUACUAGCUGUGUGACCAUGAGCAUGAAUCUUCCUCUGGAUGUGGAGAAGAACCUCCAUUUAAAAAGGUUACCAACUUGAUCAAUGACAUGUAAAACUCAAGGAGCUUUCUCCUCCUGCUUAUAUCUGCUUACCCAAUACUUAUCAUACUGCCUGCACAUAGUAAGCACUAACUAGAUGCUUGUUGACUGACUGCCUCAGUUUCCUAAUCCAUAAAAUGGAGAUAAUAACAGCUCCCACCUUCCAGAGUUGUCGUGAGAAUAAAAUGAAAUGACAUUUAUAAAGUCUUUGCA
rnacentral:lncRNA from 1 species